UAUUGUGCUGACAUUUACAAUGUUUACAUAUAGAAAAGUUUGUUUUUUUCUGCUUAUAAUGCCGUUUUCUAAAGAUAUUAGUGAACAAAAUCGAUUUGCUAACAAUAUUUAAUAUAUUUUAAAUGUGCUAAAAUUGGAUUCAACAGCAAAAGUCGCAUAAAUAACAUAUAAAUAACGAAUUUGUUUACCUAUUACAAAUGGGGUUAUGUGGUUGUAACUGUUUAUUUUGGGAAUAAAAUGAAAAUGAUCAAUUAAACGACUGGAAAACUAUAGUGAAGUGAAGAACAUCUUGAAGUUCCAAUGAUGUUUCAAGAUGAGGUAAAUCGAAAUAAUUGUAUGUUAGAAGGACAGAGAAUAUGAAGAAAUGUUAUUGCUGCAUAUUUAGUGUAGUGAAAUACAAACUUAAAACAUUAUAAUAUAUUUUUUGAUUUCAAACAUUUCAUAUGAUUAUGAAAGAACAUCUUUCUUUUUAAAACAAUGAAGAAGUGAAGAACAUAAUAAAGUUCCAACGAAAAUGAUUCCAGAUGAGGAAAAUCGAAAUAAUGGUUGUAUGUUACAUGUAUAGAGAAUACGAAGAAAUGUUAUUGCUGCAAACUUAGUGUAGUGAAUUAAAAACUUAUUGUCAAAUACAAAUCAAUUUAUUUCAUACUUUUAUAAUAUAUAGUGAUAUAAUUUUAUAUGUGUUCAAAUAAAAAUAUUAAUAAAUAAAAUACAAUAAACACAAA